AUGAUGCCCGCCUCGGGAGCCGCGAAGGCCAAAGGAAAAGGAGGGGCAACCAAAGAAAGCGACAAAGAAAAAGCCAGAACGAAAUUUUACUCACACUCACACAAGCCAAGCACACCCCAAAGAGGCCAAAGACUCCCAGUCCCAGACCAGACCAGAGUGAGAACCCAAAGCGAAAGCGGAGAAGGAAGAAAGAGAUUGACGAGGACGCGCAGCGGCUGUAGCAGCAGCAGCAGCAGCCAAAUCCAAGACCGCAUUGCUCGCUCGCCCGCCGCCGUGCGGCUCCGACGCUCCUCCGGGGACCCCGCGCCAUUCUCCUGCCGGGCAUCUCUGCCUCUGGUGCUGCCCCGUGGUCCCGAGGUCCCCACCGACGCUGGGACCAGCGCCCGCGGCUGGUGGCGAGCCCCACUGAUGUCCGCUUGCCGCGCGCCGGCGGCCAACGGAGCAAGUGUUGACGUUCCUGUUGCGGCAGAGCAGAGGGACGGCGGGGUCCGCGCGAGGCAGGCCGGGCGCGCCGGCUCUCGCUGCGCCUAG
rnacentral:rRNA from 1 species